rnacentral:rRNA from 1 species
CCUACGGGAGGCAGCAGCCGCGGUAAUAUUGGACAAUGGGGGCAACCCUGAUCCAGCAAUGUCGCGUGUGUGAAGAAGGCCUUCGGGUUGUAAAGCACUUUAGGUUGGGAGGAAGUUGUGUAUUUUAAGAGAUAGCACAAUUGACUGUACCGACAGAAUAAGCACCGGCUAACUCUGUGCCAGCAGCCGCGGUAAU